rnacentral:rRNA from 1 species
UACGUAGGGUGCGAGCGUUGUCCGGAAUUAUUGGGCGUAAAGGGCUCGUAGGCGGCCAACUAAGUCAGACGUGAAAUCCCUCGGCUUAACCGGGGAACUGCGUCUGAUACUGGAUGGCUUGAGGUUGGGAGAGGGAUGCGGAAUUCCAGGUGUAGCGGUGAAAUGCGUAGAUAUCUGGAGGAACACCGGUGGCGAAGGCGGCAUCCUGGACCAAUUCUGACGCUGAGGAGCGAAAGCCAGGGGAGCAAACGGG